rnacentral:rRNA from 1 species
CACUAUGCCACAUUGAGAUUGCCCAAUCUAGUCUGAUCUCAGAAGCUAAGCAGGGCUGAGCCUUGUUAGCACUUGGAUGGGAGACUGCUGUGAAUACCAGGUGCCACAGUGG